CUCCACACUUCUCACUUUUUCUUGAUCUCCCUUUUCGCGUUCUUCAUCUUGACCCUUGCUGCUUUACUUAAAUCCAGCGACCAUCAACACCGGCGCACCGCCGUCAAACAACGAAACCGCCAUCAACGAUCAACCCCACAAAUACAUACAAUCAUCAAACACCAACAAUACAAUCAUACACACGGUACAUAUAUUUAAUCGAGUUUGAAUCGAUUUCUCGAAAAUCUGAAACCCGAUUCAUUUUACGGACUGAGAGAGAGCGAGGAGAGAGAGGCAAAGAAAAAGAGUGAAGAGAGGGAGCGGGGAGAGAGUGAAGAGAGGGAACGGGGAGAGGGAGAGAGUGAAGAGAGGAAAUGAUGAGAGAG
rnacentral:lncRNA from 1 species